CUUCACCGAACCCAGCCACAACGGCCGGGCACGACCCUGCCCGUAAGCAGCAAUCAGCGCCUGCGCCUC
rnacentral:antisense_RNA from 1 species